AGAGUGAACGCUGGCGGCAGGCCUAAUACAUGCAAGUCGAACGGCAGCACAGCAGAGCUUGCUCUGUGGGUGGCGAGUGGCGGACGGGUGAGGAAUACAUGGGAAUCUGCCCAGUCGGUGGGGGAUAACGUAUGGAAACGUACGCUAAUACCGCAUGCCGCCCGUUACGGGGGAAAGCCGGGGGACCUUCGGGCCUGGCGCGAUUGGAUGACGCCCAUGUCGGAUUAGCUAGGUUGGACGGGGUAAACGGCCCAACCGAAGGCGACGACUCCGUAGCUGGUCUGGAGAGGAUGAUCACGCCAACGACGUA
rnacentral:rRNA from 1 species